rnacentral:rRNA from 1 species
UGCGAGUCAUUGUAGCAAUACAAGGCAGACGGCUCAGUAACGCGUAGUCAAUCUACCCUAUGGACGGGAAUAACCUCGGGAAACUGAGAAUAAUGCCCGAUAGAACAUUAUGCCUGGAAUGGUUUAUGUUUCAAAUGAUUUAUCGCCAUAGGAUGGGACUGCGGCCUAUCAGUUUGUUGGUGAGGUAAUGGCCCACCAAGACUAUUACAGGUACGGGCUCUGAGAGGAGUGGCCCGGAGAUGGGUACUGAGACACGGACCCAGGCCCUAUGGGGCGCAGCAGGCGAGAAAACUUUGCAAUGUGCGAAAGCACGACAAGGUUAAUCCGAGUGGUUUCUGCUAAAGAAACCUUUUGUCAGUCCUAGAAACACUAACGAAUAAGGGGUGGGCAAGUUCUGGUGUCAGCCGCCGCGGUAAAACCAGCACCUCAAGUGGUCAGGAUGAUUAUUGGGCCUAAAGCAUCCGUAGCUCGUUUUGUAAGUUUUCGGUUAAAUCCAUGCGCUUAACGUAUGGGCUGCCGGGAAUACUGCAUAACUAGGAAGUGGGAGAGGUAGACGGUACUCGGUAGGAAGGGGUAAAAUCCUUUGAUCUAUUGAUGACCACCUGUGGCGAAGGCGGUCUACCAGAACACGUUCGA